rnacentral:rRNA from 1 species
UACGGAGGCAGCAGUGGGGAUCUUGACAUGGGCGCAAGCCUGAUCCAGCCAUGCCGCGUGAGUGAUGAAGGCCUUAGGGUCGUAAAGCUUAACUUCAAAGAAGAAAAUGACGGUACCUGGUGAAGAAGCCCCGGCUAACUCCGUGCCAGCAGCCGCGGUAAU